AGUGAUUCUAUCAAAUACAAGAAGAAAUUGAUGGGGAAUAAAAUCAAUAACAAUUUAAAAUUUUAAAAAAAUAGAAUAUUCUUUUAAAUUAUAAAGUGGAGGCAUUAAACAGCUAAUAAAAUAAUUAAACAGUGUGCUGCCUUUAACCCAUUUAAUGUGUACCAGAGGUAUAGUUUUGACUAAUGGUAGUAUGAAUCAGUGCUGUUGCUAUGGUAACCUCUUGUGGCUGAUUAAUAGCAUGACUCAAAGAGGCUGUGGGCAUAGGUUUCAUCUUGUCUGGCUAGUGGGGUCAACCCAGCACACAACUGAGCUUGCAAGUAGCAACAUCCAGGGCUCUUAUUCUGAUGUUGAAAUAAAAUGUCAUCUCCAGCGCUCCAUGAUUUUACUACCAGUCCACAGUAAAAGCAUUGAACACAAUGAGAAUGACCUGAUAAAUUAGAACAAUUCAUUAAUUGCCAGGUUUUUUUAAAAAAAAGUUAACCUUACCUUUCAACAUAAACUGAAAUUAAAUUAUUCCUUCUAUAUUACUUGUUUUAUAAAGCAGCAAAUUUCCUCAAAAAAUGUUGAAUUAAUCUACAACCAAAAAAGUACAAUAAAACCCAGCAUCAGCUAACUCCUGUGGUGUGUGAGUGCUGUUAGCUGGCCAAGCAACAAAACUGUCCAGUCUUUUCUUGUGGUCACUGUACACUGGGUGUGUGCGAUGGCCAAGUGUUGGUUGGG